CUCCCCUCCCUGGACUGUGGCCGCACCCAGCCUGGGCCAUCCUGGGAAGGGCUGCCCCAGCGUGUGGGCUCCCACCCGUCCUGGGCUGGACUCAGUGCCCCCAGCCCACCUGGCUGUCCUCAGGGACUCAAUGGCCCCCGAAAGGCCCUUGUGAGGGGUGGCCCCAUCAUGCUGAAUCCUGAACUAGAUAGAACUAGAUUUGCCUUCGCCUAAACUCAAGUUGUUUCUGUAGAAGCAACUUACUGAUUUGGCUCAAAUUGACAGUGCAAGCUUCUUUCAAACUGAAAUCUCAGCCCCCACUGGCCCCAGGGCAGGGUUACCCUGUCUGAGCUGAGGGGACCAAGGCACCUGCUCAUGCAAUGGUCUGUUGCCUGUGUGCAGGGCAAACCUGGCACAUCAGCAUGGCAAGACAAGCCGUGAAACCCGGAAGGGUCUCAACAGGCGGCUCCACGCUACACCGGGGCUCCCGCAUCUCACCCGCCCUUCUGCAAUGGCAGCGGCACCUGGAGGCUCCCUCGCCCCGGCCUGUCAGGCCCUGGUGGGGGUGCUUUAAACGCACAGUAGAAGGGGGAGCUGCCUUUCACCCCAGCGGAACAAAACCAUCGCUCAGUGGGAGCCCGGAACCUCCCAGGAGCUUGCAGGUGCCGGGAGGCGCCGCGUUGGCCCAGCCCAGGGACAAGUUUACAGCGUGGCCGAGGCCCCGGAGCCUUCUCCAUAGACACGGAAAUUCACCUUCCUAGAGUCAAUCUAAACCCACAUUUCUCAACAGGAGGAAGAAGCUGCUCAGACAGGGUGGCGCCCAGCCACAGCCAGAGGCAGAGGCCGAGGUGUGCAGGGUCUCCGGAGCUCAUGGUGCUCGGGCUGUGGCAGGGAAGAGGCCAUGCCCUUCAGCCGUCCCCCCGUCUGUCCUCUCCCUGACCACAACGCCAGAGCUUCUCCAAAUCCUCGAGGGCCAGGCAGCCUGUCCCCACACCGGGCUCCACCCCUCACAUGUGUGAGGACCAGAGGCCUGCAACCUGUUGUCUAGGGGAUACCUCCCAGCUGCCUAAAACUCAAGGACCCAAGGCUAGAGCUGGGGCUGCCUCCCACUCCCACCCCACUCUUGGCAUUUACACCACCGGGGGCUGCUCUGAGUGACAACAGGACCCCCAGCCCCCAGUUGUCCCCACGCCCAGUGCAG
rnacentral:lncRNA from 1 species